rnacentral:rRNA from 1 species
CUCCAGAAGUGGCCGAGCCAACCCGCAAGGGAGGCAGGUCCCCAAGGAGGGGUCGGUAACUGGGGUGAAGUCGUAACAAGGUAGCCGUAGGUGAACCUGCAGAAGGAUCA